GGAUCUGGGCUUCCGGCGCAGCGCGGCUGAGAACACCCGAGCGGUUCUCGUGUUCUGGCACGUGGCUCGGGCCUGCCCCCCUGGCCUGGCCGCCUCCCGGCGCGUUCUCCGGUGCAGGUGCCUGGCCUGUGCCCCGCCAUCCCCGCCCGGCGCCGCCGGUGCUGAAGGAGCCACGCCCCGGGCUCCGGAUCCUGCCUCUGCAAAGUCCAGGCCCGCGGCGCGGGUCAGGGUUGCUGCUCCGGGCGGACGGGGACGAGCGGUCGCAGGCAACUCCUGUCUUAAGGGCAAGUGAGACAGGAUCAGGGCUGGUAUGGAGGCAUCUCCAUUAGCAGGGGACCAGACUCUUUCCAUCUGACUGCUCUGCUAUCCUUGGCGUGCUGCCUCAUGGUCCAAAGUGGCUGCUGCGCACCAGCCCUCGUGUCUGCAUUCUAGCCAGCAGGAAGGAGAAAAGGAAAGGGGGCUGGCCUAAAGGCAAGAAGAGAAACCCUCCCGAGGGACCUUGCUGCUCCGUGCUCCUAUGACAGGGUAAUUGAUAUUCCUGAACGAGCAGAGAAGUCAGCUGAGUGCCACACACCCCGAUCUGCCUUUCACGGAAAUCAUGAAGAUGCUGGCUGCUCAGUGGGCUCAGCUGUCUCAGGACAAAAAGGGGGAGAUAAACGCAAUGAUCUGUACUGCGGGACCUGCAGGCAGCUCUUCAGCUCCCUGCGCAACAAGAAGGAACCUGCUGCAGAGUCAGCACCUGCAGCACCUCUCAGGUCUCAAAUGGCUCUUCUAGCCCUGGGAUCUGAGGAGCAAGACCAGGACCCAGCUAUCUCCACCCUGGAAGAACCUUCUCUGCUCUUCCACAUCCAGCCCAGGCCUCUGGUUCCUUGUCUGCAAAACGAGGGUGCUGAGAAGAUGGGACCAGGGGUCCAGCGUUUUCUUCGGCAGGGCUGUUGAGAUGUAAGUCCCAUGCCAUAGUGCCCACUGGCUGAAAGUCUAUAUAGUUCAGUGGUUUCUAGUAUAUUUUAAGAUAUGUGCAGCCAUCACUGUGGUGGGCUUUAGAACAUCUCUGUGACCCGAAAGAGCAACCCCGUUUCCAUUGGUGCCACUCCCCCCGCUCCGCAUCCCCAGCCCAGCAGCCUAGGACAAGCUUUCUGCCUCUGCAGGAGGCCCCCAAGUUUCAGGUCUUGAUGUCUGCUUUCUGUGGGGAGUCCAGCAGACAUCUCCACCUUAGGGACAGAUUAGUGGACAGUGCUGUGUCACCAUCAAGGGCCUGAAUCCCCGCUGUCACCUACUACCUCUUUUACCUUGGGCAAAUUCUUCACCCUUUGCCUUGGCUUCCUCAGGUGAAAACGGGAUCAUCGUGCUGACCUCAAGGGCUGCUGUAGGAAUCGUUGUUCCUCGUGUCACAGUCUCUAACUGUGUGGCACAUUCUGGGUGCCCAUGGUUACGAUGAUGGGUUUGGGGGCUGGAGAGAUCAGUGACUUUCUGCCUCUACCCCCUCUCGAGGAACAGCAGGUUGCUAAGGAACCCCACAGGCACCUGCUGUGUGGCUCCCUGCACACCGCCCUUCUCCUGCUGUGGCUUUUCACCUUUGUGUGCCAGUCUUGCACCUGUUCAUGCCUCAAAACCCCAUCAAAAAGACAAUAACAGGUGCUGGCAAGCAUGUAGAGAAACUGAAACCGUGCUGCUCUGGCAGUGUCAGAGGGCACACUGCAUUGGAGAACGGUCUGACAGCUCCUCAAAAGGUUAAACAUAGAGUUGCCGUGUGACCCAGCAAUUCCGAUCCGGUGGCCAAUCUGAGGUUUCAAUCCAGGCUGUCUGGUUCCAAGGACUCUGUUCUUUACCACUUUCUAUGUGUAUACCCAAAGAACUGCAAAUGUAUGAUUAACCAAAAAUAUGAACGUGAAUGCUCAUCGCUGCACAGUUUGUAACAGCCGAAAGGUGGAAACAAACCAAACGCCCAACAAGGGUUGAAUGGAUAAACAAAACGUGGCCCAUCCUUACAACAGCGUAACCUUGGGCCGUACAGAGGAGUGAAGUGUGAUAUGCGCCACGAUGUGGAGGAAACUUGAAAACACGGGAAAUUCAAAAAAGAUCCUGCCACGUACUCAAAGCACCCGGAGCCUCUAAAGGAAGAGAUGGGACAAAUGAGGCCAAGUCAGAGGAGGAAGCUGAGGGCCCCGAGUCCCUUCUGCUCAGCUGUCCACAUCCAGAGAGGAGUUCUGCUUCUCUCAACCUGUGUUUCUUGCAAGAGUUUAUCUAUAAAUUGCUGAAAAAAUGAGUAAUCAAGUUCAGCAACUCCCUGGCAUCUGUGAUGACCUACGGUUUAUAAUCCUAGUCAGAAUCACCUACAUAAAGUUUAUAAUAUUAAUCAGAACAAAACAGAAAAGUCGCUAGAGGAAUAACAAUAGUAAAAAUUACAAUCAGAUGAAGAAUAAAGUUUUCAAUGAGGCACAGUUCUAAGCACUUCAUACAAAUAAACUGUCUUAAUUCUCAUAAAAGUACUGCAAGGCAGGUGCUAAUAUCAUCUCCUUCUAAAGAUAAAAUGCAGCACAGAGAGGUUAAGUAACUUGUCCAAGGUUGAACAGCUAGUGAGUGGCCAAUCUGAGAUUUAAAUCCAGGCUGUCUGGGUCCAAGAACCCUGUUCUUCACUACUUCUCAACAAUGUCAACCAUGUAGAAUGAUACACACACAUAAACCCACAUCAGUGGUAAUGGUGGUUAUCUCUGGCUGGCAAGAUGAAAGAAGACAUUAUGUAAUUCUUCAGUCCUUUCUGUGUCUGCCACAUUUUCCCCAAUGGAUAGAUGUCACUUAAAUUAUCAGAGGAAGAAAAACUCUAUUAAAAGGAAUUUCAAGGGCCAGGCAAGAUGGAUCACACCUGUAAUCCCAGCACUUUGGGAGGCCAAGGUGGGAGGAUCACCUGAGGUCAGCAGUUCGAGACCAGCCUGGCCAACAUGGCGAAACCCUGUCUCUACUAAACAUACAAAAAAAUUAGUCGGGCGUGGUGGCACAUGCCUGUAAUCCCAACUACUUGGGAGGCUGAGGCAGGAGAAUCGCUUGAACCUGGGAGGUGGAGGUUGCAGUGAGCCGAGAUCACACCACUGCACUCAAGCCUGGAUGACAGAGCAAGGCUUCAUCUCAAAAACAUAAAAUAAAAUAAAAUAAUUGUUUUAUUCUGCUUAUAAAAUUAGCAUAUUCAUUGAAGCUAGGCACGGUGGCUCCUGCCUGUAAUCCCAGCCCUUUGGGAGACCAGGGCAGGUAGAUCACUUGAGGCCAAGAGUUCGAGACCAGCCUGGCCAACAUGGUGAAACCCCAUCUCUACUGAAAAUACAAAAAUUAUCUGGGUGU